rnacentral:rRNA from 1 species
GAUGAACGCUAGCGGCAGGCCUAAUACAUGCGAGUCGAACGGUAACAUGAGUAGCAAUACUUGAUGACGAGUGGCGCACGGGUGCGUAACGCGUAUGCAAUCUACCUUUAACUGGUGAAUAGCCCGAAGAAAUUCGGAUUAAUACACCAUAGUAUAGUUGAAUGGCAUCAUUUAACUAUUAAAACUCCGGUGGUUAAAGAUGAGCAUGCGUGACAUUAGCUAGUUGGUGAGGUAAUGGCUCACCAAGGCUACGAUGUCUAGGGGAUCUGAGAGCAGUAACCCCCACACUGGGACUGAGACACGGACCAGACUCCUACGGGAGGAAGCAGUAAGGAAUAUUGGACAAUGGUCGCAAUACUGAUCCAGCCAUGCCGCGUGAAGGAUGACGGCCCUAUGGGUUGUAAACUUCUUUUGUAUGGGAAAAAACCUCUUUACGUGUAAAGAGCUGAUUGUACCAUAAGAAUAAGGAUCGGCUAACUCCGUGCCAGCCGCCGCGGUAAAAC